rnacentral:rRNA from 1 species
GUCCUACGGGGGGCAGCAGUCGGGAAUAUUGCGCAAUGGAGGCAACUCUGACGCAGUGACGCCGCGUAUAGGAAGAAGGUUUUCGGAUUGUAAACUAUUGUCCUCAGGGAAGAAAAAAGACUGUACCUGAGAAGAAAGCUCUGGCUAACUACGUGCCAGCAGCCGCGGUAAUACGUAGGGAGCAAGCGUUAUCCGGAAUUACUGGGUGUAAAGGGGGCGCAGACGGCGAUGCAAGCCAGGAGUGAAAGCCCGGGGCCCAACCCCGGGACUGCUCUUGGAACUGCGUGGCUGGAGUGCAGGAGGGG